rnacentral:rRNA from 1 species
AACUACGGCCAUGCCUCCCUGAACACCCCGAUCUCGUCUGAUCUCAGAAGCUUAAGCAGGGUCAGGCUUGGUUGGUACUUGGAUGGGGGACCACCUAGGAAGACCAGGUGCUGUAGGUG